AUGUCACUGAGGCCGAAGGGACGGCGGGGGUCACCUGUGGCCCGGGAGGCUCUGCGCCGCCCCCAUCCCACGCAGGCCGCCUCGAGGCCUCAGUGGGCGCUGGCCCUGGGCGCCCGGGGUCCGGGGGUACGGGAUCCGCGGCGUCACCUCCCGGGCUCGCCGCCACGCACGACUCACCGGACCGCGUCGCCGUCCUCUGCUGCUGCGGGGCUCCGGAAGGGAAUCCGAGCCGGGCGCUCGCCCAGGCCCCCGCCCCCUGAGACUGCUGGGGUCACAGCCCCGCGCGGCCACGCCCCACUUUCUGGGCAGCCGCGUCCACGCGCGUUCUGGGCCCUGCACACCCCCUGCUCCCCCUCCCCAGCUUUCCCGACGUGGGAGCGGCAAAUCCAAGUCAGCGUGCCCAAGCCAGACACUUACUCCAGGUGUUUACUAUGGUAUAUCUAUAUUGACAUCUCACUCAGCACUAAAAACAGGACUACUGAUGCAACAGUCUGGAUCAAUGCCCAGAGGUUAUGGUGAGUGAAAAAAGCCAAUCCCAAAAGAAAGUAUAAUCCAAUUAUAAUUUUGGCAAAAUUAUAGAGAUGGAGAACACGUCACUGGUGCCAGAGGUUAUGAAGGUGGGCGUAGCUAUACGAGCACAAGAGGAAAGUAUGGCUUAUAAGGACAACAGAUAGGUUCACUGUGAUAGAAAUGUUCUAUAUCUUGGUUACUAUCAUUUCUAUUAUAGCUUGGCUUAGUUGUGAUAUUGUCCUAGUUUUGCCAGAUGUUAUCAUUGGGAAAACCGAGUGGAAUCUC
rnacentral:lncRNA from 13 species